rnacentral:rRNA from 1 species
GAUGAACGCUGGCGGCGUGCCUAAUACAUGCAAGUCGAACGGGGAGUAGCAAUACUCUUAGUGGCGAACAGGUGAGUAACGCGUUGGUACCUGCCCCGAAGCGGGGGAUAACGGACCGAAAGGUCCGCUAAUACCCCAUGUGCUCGGUAACGAGUAAAGGUGAAAACCACUUUGGGAGGGGCCUGCGUCCCAUCAGCUAGUUGGUAAGGUAACGGCUUACCAAGGCGAUGACGGGUAGGGGACCUGAGAGGGUGGCCCCCCACAAUGGAACUGAAACACGGUCCAUACACCUACGGGUGGCAGCAGUAGGGAAUAUUGGUAAUGGGCGCAAGCCUGAACCAGCAACGCCGCGUGUGCGAUGACGGCCUUCGGGUUGUAAAGCACUUUUGACUGGGACGAGGAAGGACGGUACCGGUCGAAUCAGCCUCGGCUAACUACGUG